UACGGGGGGAGCAAGCGUUGUUCGGAUUUACUGGGCGUAAAGGGCGCGUAGGCGGCCUCCGCAAGUCGACUGUGAAAUCUCCGGGCUUAACUCGGAAAGGUCAGCCGAUACUGCGGGGCUAGAGUGCAGAAGGGGCAACCGGAAUUCUCGGUGUAGCAGUGAAAUGCGUAGAUAUCGAGAGGAACACCAGUGGCGAAGGCGAGUCCCUGGACAACACCUGACACUGAGGCACGAAAGCUAGGGGAGCAAACAGG
rnacentral:rRNA from 1 species